rnacentral:rRNA from 1 species
AGCAUAUCAAUAAGCGGAGGAAAAGAAACCAACAGGGAUUGCCCUAGUAACGGCGAGUGAAGCGGCAACAGCUCAAAUUUGAAAUCUGGCUCUCGGGCCCGAGUUGUAAUUUGUAGAGGAUGCUUCUGGCGCGGUGCCUUCCGAGUUCCCUGGAACGGGACGCCUUAGAGGGUGAGAGCCCCGUACGGUCGGACACCAAGCCUAUGUGAAGCUCCUUCGACGAGUCGAGUAGUUUGGGAAUGCUGCUCUAAAUGGGAGGUAAAUUUCUUCUAAAGCUAAAUAUUGGCCAGAGACCGAUAGCGCACAAGUAGAGUGAUCGAAAGAUGAAAAGCACUUUGAAAAGAGGGUUAAACAGCACGUGAAAUUGUUGAAAGGGAAGCGUUUGCGACCAGACUUUUUCCCGGCGGAUCAUCCGGCGUUCUCGCCGGUGCACUUCGCCGGGUCAAGGCCAGCAUCGGUUUCCGGAGGGGGACAAAAGCUUUGGGAACGUGGCUCCUUCGGGAGUGUUAUAGCCCUUUGCAUAAUGCCCCUCUGGGGACCGAGGUUCGCGCAUCUGCAAGGAUGCUGGCGUAAUGGUCGUCAACGACCCGUCUUGAAACACGGACCAAGGAGUCGAACAUUUGUGCAAGUGUUAGGGUGUCAAACCCCUGCGCGUAAUGAAAGUGAACGGAGGUGAGAGCCCUUACGGGUGCAUCAUCGACCGAUCCUGAUGUUUUCGGAUGGAUUUGAGUAAGAGCAUAACUGUUCGGACCCGAAAGAUGGUGAACUAUGCGUGGGUAGGGUGAAGCCAGAGGAAACUCUGGUGGAGGCUCGCAGCGGUUCUGACGUGCAAAUCGAUCGUCAAACCUGCGCAUGGGGGCGAAAGACUAUCGAACCAUCUAGUUGC